UGGAUUCAUGUGAAAUACUACGCC
rnacentral:siRNA from 1 species